CCUACGGGAGGCAGCAGUGAGGAAUAUUGGUCAAUGGUCGGGAGACUGAACCAGCCAAGCCGCGUGAGGGAGGAAGGUACAGAGUAUCGUAAACCUCUUUUGUCAGGGAACAAAGGCGGGGACGUGUCCCCGGAUGAGUGUACCUGAAGAAAAAGCAUCGGCUAACUCCGUGCCAGCAGCCGCGGUAAUACGGAGGAUGCGAGCGUUAUCGGGAUUUAUUGGGUUUAAAGGGUGCGCAGUGGGUCUUUAAAGUCAGCGGUAAAAGCCCGGGGCUCAACCCCGACACGCGGUUGAUACUGGCAGGCUCGAGUUGGAGAGAGGUAUGCGGAAUGCGCGGUGUAGCGGUGAAAUGCAUAGAUAUCGCGAAGAACUCCGAUGGCGAAGGCAGCAUGCCGGCUCCACACUGACGCUGAGGCACGAAAGCGUGGGUAUCGAACAGGAUUAGAUACCCUUGUAGUC
rnacentral:rRNA from 1 species